GCCUACGGCCAUACCACCCUGAACGUGCCCCAUCUCGUCUGAUCUCAGAAGCUAAGCAGGAUUGGGCCUGGUUAGUACUUGGACGGGAGAACACAGAAGAACUAGAACCUUAAGCU
rnacentral:rRNA from 1 species